CCUACGGGUGGCAGCAGUGAGGAAUAUUGGUCAAUGGGCGGGAGACUGAACCAGCCAAGUAGCGUGAGGGAUGAAGGCCCUGCGGAUUGUAAACUUCUUUUGUCAAGGAAUAAAGUGCGGCACGUGUGCCUUUUUGUGUGUACUUUAUGAAUAAGGAUCGGCUAACUCCGUGCCAGCAGCCGCGGUAAUACGGAGGAUCCGAGCGUUAUCCGGAUUUAUUGGGUUUAAAGGGAGCGUAGAUGGGUGGUUAAGUCAGUUGUGAAAGUCUGCGGCUCAACCGGAAAAUUGCAAUUGAUACGGGCAGUCUUGAGUACAGGUGAGGUAGGCGGAAUGCGUGGUGUAGCGGUGAAAUGCUUAGAUAUCACGAAGAACUCCGAUUGCGAAGGCAGCUUACUAAACUGACACUGACAUUGAUGCUCGAAAGUGUGGGUAUCAAACAGGAUUAGAUACCCCGGUAGUC
rnacentral:rRNA from 1 species